GACUCGGUGGCGCAACGCUAGCGCGGCUGACUCCAGAUCAGAAGGUUGCGUGUUCAAAUCACGUCCGGGUCA
rnacentral:tRNA from 1 species